rnacentral:rRNA from 1 species
UACGUAGGGACCAAGCGUUGUUCGGAUUUACUGGGCGUAAAGGGCGCGUAGGCGGCGCGGUAAGUCACUUGUGAAAUCUCUGAGCUUAACUCAGAACGGCCAAGUGAUACUGCAGUGCUAGAGUGUGGAAGGGGCAAUCGGAAUUCUUGGUGUAGCGGUGAAAUGCGUAGAUAUCAAGAGGAACACCUGAGGUGAAAGACGGGUUGCUGGGCCAACACUGACGCUGAGGCGCGAAAGCCAGGGGAGCAAACGGG